rnacentral:rRNA from 1 species
ACGGGACCCCAGGUCAGGCGGGGCUACCCGCUGAGUUUAAGCAUAUCAAUAAGC